UUAACAUCGAGGUCGAACGGUAACAGGUUAAGCUGACGAGUGGCGAACGGGUGAGUAAUGUAUCGGAACGUGCCCAGUCGUGGGGGAUAACUGCUCGAAAGAGCAGCUAAUACCGCAUACGACCUGAGGGUGAAAGCGGGGGAUCGCAAGACCUCGCGCGAUUGGAGCGGCCGAUAUCAGAUUAGGUAGUUGGUGAGGUAAAGGCUCACCAAGCCGACGACCUGUAGCUGGUCUGAGAGGACGACCAGCCACACUGGGACUGAGACACGGCCCAGACUCCUACGGGAGGCAGCAGUGGGGAAUUUUGGACAAUGGGCGCAAGCCUGAUCCAGCCAUGCCGCGUGCGGGAAGAAGGCCUUCGGGUUGUAAACCGCUUUUGUCAGGGAAGAAAAGGUUCUGGCUAAUACCUGGGACUCAUGACGGUACCUGAAGAAUAAGCACCGGCUAACUACGUGCCAGCAGCCGCGGUAAUACGUAAGGUGCAAGCGUUAAUCGGAAUUACUGGGCGUAAAGCGUGCGCAGGCGGUUAUGCAAGACAGAGGUGAAAUCCCCGGGCUCAACCUGGGAACUGCCUUUGUGACUGCAUGGCUAGAGUACGGUAGAGGGGGAUGGAAUUCCGCGUGUAGCAGUGAAAUGCGUAGAUAUGCGGAGGAACACCGAUGGCGAAGGCAAUCCCCUGGGCCUGUACUGACGCUCAUGCACGAAAGCGUGGGGAGCAAACAGAAUCACU
rnacentral:rRNA from 1 species